GUGCAUUACUUUCCGAUCAAUAAAGAAAACAAGAGAAAUACCCAGAAACUACAAAUGAUAAGGAAACGUGACUCCAGAAAGGUCAGUGGGCUCUGAGGUCGACAUUUGCCCUGGGGGCAGGUGCUGAUCCCUAAUGGAAAAGAACAGAGGUCACAAACUAUCCUUCAAAGGCCAGAUCCAGCUACCUGGUUUUUUUUUGUUGUUGUUGUUGGUCCUUGAGCUAAGAACGGUUGUUAUCUUUUUAAAGGACUGAGCCAAGACAUUUUUUACACUUUAAAAGGUUGCUUAAAUAUAAAGGGAAAAUCUGUGACAAGACCCUAGGUGGCCCACUGAGCCUAAAAUAGUUACCAUCUGUUCCUUUACGACAAGUUUGCCAACCUUGCCCUAAGCCAACACCGCGUAUUUUGACUUUUGUUACAGGUAGCACCCCACUUCUAAGUACUAAAUUCCAAAUUAGCUGGGACUGGGUUUGCCUGCCAGUGACAGUAUCCAAAAUGGCAGCGGUUUAAAUAAGGCAACAACUUGUUGUCACUGGCCCCAAAAGUCCCAAAAGUAGUACAAAGCUGGCAGAAGGCUUCACAGGGUUAUGAACAGAAAGUCUUUCUUCUUGUCUCCUUACUUGUAGGAUCUCCAUCUCAUGGUCUAAGAUGAUGGCACGUACAUCCCGGUAGAAGGAAAGAAGAAGAUAGAAACAAACAAGGAGAGGAAAGGACAGCUAAGCAGCUUUCCCUUAAGGAGAUGCACUGGAAGUUGCCACGCUUCACGCUGGCUUACAUCCCAUUGGGCAGAGCUUAGGCACAUGAGAGGAUGUGAAAUGUAGUCCUUAUCUGGGCCACCAUAAAGAGGUAUUUUGCUAUGAAAGAAUGGAAUGAUGAACGCUGAGGAGAACCAACAGAGCUUGCCACAAGUAUUUACAACACAGGAAAGGUGUGAGGGUGAAACGAAGUAUGGCACAUGAGAUCAUCUGGCACUGGGCUUGGAAUGCCUCCCUUCCCAAACGAAAGGGGAACUGUUCGUUUAGCUCAGAGUUUCUCGAAGUCUCGUAACCCGUUGAAGGUACAUCUGUGGUGGGGAUGGUUCCUCGGGUCCCAUCUUCACACCAUUGUAUAAUCAUCUUCUGUAAAGACAGGCCGGAGCUGGCCGUGACUGCCUCUGAUGACUAGAAUGCGGGACAUCUCUUCUAAGACCAGGUUGUAACAGAUGAUGCUCCCCAUCUCACUGGCCUCUCUCUGGGUCUCGCUCGCUCACUCUGGUCAAGCCAGCUGUCACGCCAGGAGCCGUGCUAUGCAAAGGGCCGUGGGGCAGGGAACUGGAGGCAGCCUGCGGCCGACAGGCUGUGAACCAAGCGCUGCCCACAACUGCAUGACUGGGCUUUGGAAGCAGGUCCUGCCUCGGUGGAGCCUUGACGGACCACAGCCGGGCCUAGCAUAGCGAUCACGGACGAGGAGAGAGUCUUGAAGCCCAGCACCGAGCUACGUUACACCCAGAUGUCCACCCCACAGGAGUCACGAGAUAAUAAAUGUAUUUUAAAUUUGCUAAGCUUCAGGAUAAUCUGCUGUGAACAGCAGAUAAUGGCUACCACAGCAAAAAAGCUAUAAAGUUACAGCAAAUGCCAAUGUGUUUAUCAGCAGAGUCACCGAGGCUCUUAUGCAAAGUCAGAGGAACCAACCCAAUUUUUUUAAGUUUUUAUUUUAAUUCCAGUUAGUUAAGAUACAGUGUUAGACUAGUUUCAGGUGUAUAACAGAGUCGUUCAACGUUGGCAUGCAUCACCCUGCGAAACCAACCCAAUUUUUGAGCUUAUGAAUAACUUGCUGUUGUCAGUAUGCAGGAGCAUAUGCUCGAUGCUGAGGAGAAUAAAAGCUAAGGAAGUCGAACAUACCUCGCAGGAGGUGCUCACAAAUGCUGAUGGGGUGGGAAGAAGAAAGGAAGGAAGGGAGGGAGGGAUGAAGCGAGAGAGUGAAGGACCCAGGGAAGCAGAAGAGGGAGGAGGGACGGGAGGAGGGAGAGAAGGGAGGGAGGGAAGGAGGGAGAGAGGAAAUGAAGAAGGGGAAGGGAAGGCACGGAAAGAGAAGGAAAGAUAUCAACUUACUUCUAUUCUCACUGUAUUUUCCUCUUUCCUCAGCGAGCCCAUCUAUCACUGCUUCAAUGAAAGUAUCUGGCCAAACAUCAAACAGAGUCCACACAAGCCUUUCUGGCUCUGGCCUUCCAAAUGCCUUAGCAAUUCAAAGAAUUUACAGGGUUUGGGGAGGAAGCGAAAGACCGGGAGAAAGUGAUUUGUGGUAGAGACAGAGUACCGUGGAAAAGCGAGGGGAAGAAAGCACGCCCUCAUCCCCCAAAUAGAACGCGGACAGGGAGAGAGAGAAGAAAGAGAUCUGAAAAACUAAGAACGCAGGGAAUCUGGACUCAUCCCCACUACUCUGUAGGACACCAAUGAUUGUUGCACAAUCUCAACAAUGGAAGGACGAAUGUGGGCGAGUUUUUGCUUGUACCUGCCCCCCCGGAGAUGGGAGCUCAGGAAAAAAUCAAGUUAGGUUACAGAAAAAUAAUUUUUUUUCUUUCAUGCUUGCGUUUGUGUACUGAGACCUGCUGCUCUGCCGUUCAGAGUCCAGUUCCACAUAGUCCCAAUUGUUCUUUUUAAUCCCACGCGAACUUGCAGAAUGGCUAAGAGCACGGGCUUUGGAGCCAGUCAGAAUGGAGUCUGCUCUGCCAACUACCAACUGUUGGGAACAUGGGAAAAACUUAAUCCACUUGAUUCUCUUUCCUCAUCCAUUAAAGAGAAGCUACAAUAUCUCUUUCAUAGGGUUAUGAUACGAAUUUUUUGAGACAAUGUACAUUAGGAUACUCAUCACAGUGUUUGACAUGGUAAGAACCAAAUAAAUAGAAGUCAUUAUCAUUACAAAACUCUAGACACAGGACAUAGGAUUCUGAUGGAACUGUCUGGGUCCCCUUCUCUAAGGAACAAGUAAAAAUCAGGCGCACAGACUUCUGGUGCUGUACAAACAAGCAAUCCAACUGCAGUCGAUUUCUCCCGCUGAUGACAAUAGAAAAUUCUAGCAGGCAGCUUGAGGUGAAAAGUCAAAACUUGAAGAUCGAUCCAUAAUGAUAGUGAGCUUUCCUGGUGGGUUUUUUUUUUCUCCUUUAUCUCUUAGGAUUUAACCUCAGGGUAAUGAAAUUUUACAAGUAUGAACACUAAAACGUCCAAGAGAAAUCUCCUUUUCUGACCAGAGGCCCAAGAAAGGAAGAACCCAGCAGGGCGGGGGAGGGUGGAGGACUGUCUU
rnacentral:lncRNA from 1 species